AUCCGGAAGCGGGAAACGAUUCUAGCUUGCUAAAAGGCGUCGAGCGGCGGACGGGUGAGUAAUGCAUGGGAAUCUGCCCGAUAGUGGGGGACAACCUGGGGAAACUCAGGCUAAUACCGCAUACGUCCUACGGGAGAAAGCAGGGGAUCUUCGGACCUUGCGCUAUCGGAUGAGCCCAUGUCGGAUUAGCUUGUUGGUGAGGUAACGGCUCACCAAGGCGACGAUCCGUAGCUGGUCUGAGAGGAUGAUCACCCACACUGGGACUGAGACACGGCCCAAACUCCUACGGGAGGCAGCAGUGGGGAAUAUUGGACAAUGGGCGAAAGCCUGAUCCAGCCAUGCCGCGUGUGUGAAAAAGGCCUUCGGGUUGUAAAGCACUUUCAGCGAGGAAAAACCCCUCGGGAUUAAUACUCCCGAGGAAAGACAUCACUCGCAAAAAAAGCACCGGCUAACUCCGUGCCACCAGCCGCGGUAAUACGGAGGGUGCAAGCGUUAAUCGGAAUUACUGGGCGUAAAGCGCGCGUAGGUGGCUAAGUCACCCAGGUGUGAAACCCCCGGGCUCAACCUGGGAACGGCAUCUGGAACUGCUUGGCUAUAGUGCAGGAGAGGAAGGUAAAAUUCCCGGUGUAGCGGUGAAAUGCGUAUAGAUCGGGAGGAAUACCAGUGGCGAAGGCGGCCUUCUGGACUGACACUGACACUGAGGUGCGAAAGCGUGGGUAGCACACAGGAUUAGAUCCCUGGUAGUCCACGCCGUAAACGAUGUCACUAGCCGUUGGGUCCCUUGAGGACUUAGUGGCGCAUCUAACGCAUAAGUUGACCGCCUGGGGAAUACGGCCGCAGGUUAAACUCAAUGAAUUGACGGGGCCCGCACAGCGGUGGAGCUGGUGUUAAUUCCAUGCACGCGAAAACCUUACCUCCCUUGACUCCAGAGGACUUCCAAAGAUGAAUGGUGCCUCGGAACUCUGAAACGGUGCUGCAGGCUGGCGCCGCUCUGUUGGAA
rnacentral:rRNA from 1 species